GAUUAGUUAGCAGAUAAGAACUACUUUAGGUGAAGGGAAGGACAGUACUCAAUGCACGGAAGGUCAGCUCAACUGGACUGGACCAAAAGCAAAGAAGUUUCCGGGAUAAGCUGAAUGCUUCAAAGGUCAGCGGAGCGAGGGUGGGGGUUUGGGGACUAUGGCUUAAGGGGACUUCUAUGUCAAUUGGCAAAAUAAUUCUAUUAGGAAAACAUUCUGCAUCCCACUUUGAAAUGUGGCGUCUGGGGUCUUAAAUGUUAACAAGCGGCCAUCUAAGAUGCAUCAAUUUGUCCCAACCCACCUGGAUCAAAGGAGAAUGAAGAACACCAAGGUCACACGAUAACUACGAGCCCAAGAGACAGAAAGGGCCGCAUGAACCAGAGACUUAUAUCAUCCUGAGACCAGAAGAACUAGAUGGUACUCAGCCACAGUCGAUGACUGCCCUGACAGGGAGCACAACAGAGGGAGCAGGAGAUCAGUGGGAUGCAGACCCCAAAUUCUCUGCCCUGAGGGAGCAGGAGAUCAGUGGGAUGCAGACCCCAAAUUCUCAUAAAAAGAUCAAACUUAAAUGGUCUGACUGAGACUAGAGGAAUCCCGACGGUCAUGGUCCCCAAACCUUCUGUUGGCCCAGGAUAGGAACCAUUCCCAAAGACAACUCAUCAGACAUGGAAGGGACUGGACAAUGGGUUGGAGAGAGAUGCUGACGAAAAGUGAGCUACUUGUAUCAGGUGGACACUUGAGACUGUGUUGGCAACCCCUGUUUGGAGGGGAGAUAGGAGGGUAGAGAGGGUUAGAAACCGGCAAAAUUGUCACGAAAGGAGAGACUGGAAGGAGGGAGCAGGCUGACUCAUUAGGGGGAGAGUAAGUGAGCGUAUGGAGUAAGGUGUAGAUAAGCUUAUAUGUGACAGACUGACUUGAUUUGUAAACGUUCACUUAAAGCGCAAUAAAAAUCAUUAAAAAAAAAAAAAGAUUCCGUACAGAUUGGGAAAAAGUCUUCAGCUCUGACAUUUCCAAUUAGCAUCUGUUGUCUAAAAUCUACAUGAUAUGCAAAAACUCAACUGUGAAAAGACAAAUAACCCAAUUAAAAAAUGGGCAAAGGAUAUGAGCUGGCACUUCACCAAAGAAGACAUUCAGGCAGCUAACAGAUACAUGGGGAAAUGCUCACGAUCAUUACCCCUUAGAGAAAUGCAAAUGAAAACUACACUGAGAGACCAUCUCACUCCAAGGAGGCUGGCAUUAAUCCAAAAAAACACAAAACGAUAAAUGUUGGAGAGGUUGUGGAGAGACUGGAACACUUACACACUGCUAGUGGGAAUGUAAAAUAGUACAGCCACUUGGAAAUUGAUUUGGCGAUUCCUUAAAAAGCUAGAAAUAGAACUACCAUAUGAUCCAGCAAUCCCACUCCUUGAAAUAUAUCCUAAAGAAAUAAGAGCCUUUACAUGAACAGAUAUAUGCACACCCAUGUUCACUGCAGCACUGUUUACAAUAGCAAAAAGAUGGAAGCAGCCAAGGUGCCCAUCAACAGAUGAAUGGAUAAAUAAAUUAUGGUGUAUUCACACAAUGGAAUGCUACGUAUUGACGAAUAACAAUGAUGAAUCCGUGAAACAUUUCAUAACAUGGAGAAAUCUGGUAGGCAUUAUGCUGAGUGAAAUUAGUCAACUGCAAAAGGACAAAUAUUGUAUGAGACCACUAUUACAAGAACUCAAGAAACAGUUUAAACAGAGAAGAAAAUAUUCUUUAUGAUGGUUACAAGUGGUAUUAACUAAUUAGAUAGUAAGCAAGAACUAUUUUAGGUCAAGGGAAAGACAACACACAACACAGGAGAGGUGAGCACAACUGGACUAAACCAAGAGCAAAAGAAUCUUCCUGAAUAAACUGAAUGCUUCAAAGGCCAGAGUAGCAAGGGCGGGGGCUUUGGGGACCAGGGUUUCAGGGGACAUCUAAGUCAAUUGACAUAAUAAAAUCUAUUAAGAAAACAUUCUACAUUCCACUUUGGAGAGUGGCGUCUGGGGUCUUAAACAGUAGCAAGCAGCCAUGUAAGAUUCUUCAAUGGGUCUCAACCCACAUGGAGCGAAGGAGAAUGAAGGACACCAAACACACAAGGUAAUUAUGAGCCCAAGAGACAGAAAGGGCCACAUAUAUCAGACACUUGUCAGCCUGAGACCAGAAGUACUAGAUGGUGCCCAGCUACAACUGAUAACUGUCCUGACAGGGAACACAACAGAGAAUCCCUGAUGGAGCAGGAAAACAGUGGGACACAGACCUCAAGUUCUCCUAAAAAGGCCAGACUUAAUGGUCUGACUGAGACUAGAAGGACCCAGGAGCUCACAGUCCCCGGACCUUCUGUUAGCCCAAGAGAGGAACCAUUCCCAAAGUCAACUCUUCAGACAGGGAUUAGACUGGAAUAUAAAAUAGAAAAUGAUCCUGGUAAGGAGUGAGCUUCUUGGCUGAAGUAGAUACAUGAGACUUUGUGGACAGCUAUUGUCUGGAGGGGAGAUGAGAGGGCCGAGCGGGGCAGAAGCUGGCUGAAUGGACAUGGGGAGUACAGGGUGGAGAGGAGUGUGCCGUCUCGUUAGGGGGACAGCAACUAGGAAUAUAAAGCAAGGUGUAUAUAAAUUUUUGUAUGAGAGACUGACUUGAUUUGUAAACUUUUACUUAAAGCACAAUAAAAAUUAAUAAAAAAUUUAAAAAAUAUCAUUAACAAACAACAUGCAGAUGUAUUAUAUUUAAAAAAUUAAAAUACUAAGAUAAAAAAAUAAAAAGGUAGAAAAUUAAUAAGCUAGGUGAUUGCUCGAUUUAUCCAUUAGUUGCGGAACUACAUAGAUGAUUCACUGUCUUCUGGCAAAGUAAUUUAGAUCAAAACAACAAAGUAGUUCAUUGUUUUUAAAACAUUGCAACAUUUUGGUUGGUUAUGAAAUCAAUUAGAAGGGUCAUGAUUCAACAUUUUUUUUUUAAUGAAAUAAAAUGGAGCCUAAUUCAAUAGCAAAUAUUAGAGUGUAUUACCCUUAGAAAGACUAAGUAUUUUAUAUUUACGAAACAUUUGUUUAUAGUUUGGCUGUGUGACCCCAAUACUCUCCAGCAUAUUUUCUCGUUUUUCAAAAUGGGCGACUGAGAGCUUGACAUAACUAACAGCCAGGACGUACCUAUAGGUUUUUCUCAUUCCUCUGCCUGCCACCUCCGUCACAUACCUCUGUUAAUGACUUAGUUUUGACCUAAUGUUAAGGACUUUGUUCUUUGUUUUAAACUGAUACGAAUAACCUUUGCACCACCAGUGACUUACAAGCCCCACAGGAAGAUCAGAGCCCAGGUCCCUGGUAUGUACAUCUUUAGUCUAAUAAAGAGUCUUUUGUCACUAUCUUGUAAUGCAUAACUCCUCUGGCCAUGCCAUCUGCAGACUGCAAAAACACUUCUAACCCUUGUAAAAUCCUAUAUAAGCUCUAAUUUAAAUGGCUUUUCGGGGUUCCAUAGAGACAGCCUGUGUUGCUGUCAGAUCCCCAGUGAUGUAUACAUCCCCUUAAUAAACUUUCUCACUCCUUCUGACUUGGAGUAUGGUUCAUUGGCUCAGCUGCUCCAGGACACGGACCCUAAUCAGGUAACAGGUAUAUAGUUAGAACAAUAGACAGUCCUGGGUACUAGGUAAAGAUGUAAAAUAUAUUUCUUAUUCUGAGUCAUGAUAAAAGAAGUUCAAAAGUUAUUGACAAUAUUCUAAUAUUUCACGCGUGAUAUAUCCUAAGUAUACAUAUAUUCUUUAAGAAUAUGUAUGGUGCCUGUUUUCAGCACUUCUGGGGUUUGUGAUUCAUUGGAUGGACCCUUCCCCACUUCUGCAUCUGAGAUGUGGGCCUGUAUCUUGAGGAAUAGCCUGUCACACAUUCAUCACUCUGCAAGGCCGCUGGUGGUCAGCUUCUACGUUUACCCACCAGAGUGCGGGUGUUUGAAGCUGAAGCUUGCAUUCAUUGCCAACUGUCAGGAACUUACCGUGGUACCUGUCCUGGAAGAAGCAAGUGGCAGAUGUUGAAAAAAUGAGUCAAGAGAAAAGAUACACAUUUGAAACUUUUUUUUUUAAUUUUUAUUGUGCUUUAGGUGAAAGUUUACAAAUCAAGUAUCUCAUACAAAAAUUUAUAUACACCUUGCUAUAUAAUCCUAGUUGCUCUCCCCCUAAUGAGACAGCACACUGCUUGCCUCUACUCUGUAUUUUCAUGUCCGUUCAGCCAGCCUCUGACCCUCUCUGCCCUCUCAUCGCCUCUCUAGACAGGAGCUGCCCACAUAGUCUCAUGUGUCUACUUGAUCCAAGAAACUCACUCUACACUAGUGUCAUUUUCUAGCCCAUAGUCCAGUCUAAUCUCUGUCUGAAGAGUUGGCUUUGGGAAUGGUUCCUGUCUUGGGCUAACAGAAGGUCUGGGGACCAUGACCUCCACGGUUCUUCUAGACUCAGUUAAACCAUUAAGUCUGGUUUUUCCAUGAGAAUUUGAGGUCUGCAUCCCACUGCUCUCCUGCUCCUUCAAGGCUUCUCUGUUAUGUUCCCUGUCAGAGCAGUCAUCUGUUGUAGACAGGCACCAUCUGGUUCUUCUGGUCUCAGGUUGAUGUAGUCUCUGGUUUAUGUGGCCCUUUCUGUCUCUUGGGCUCAUAAUUACCUUGUGUCCUUGGUGUUCUUCAUUAUCCUUUGGUCCAGGUGGGUUGAGACCAAUUGAUGCAUCUCAGAUGGCUGCUUGUUAGUGUUUAAGACCCCAGAUGCCACUCUCCAAAGUGGGAUGCAGAAUGUUUUCUUAAUAGAUUUUAUUAUGCCAGUUGACUUAGAUGUCCCCUGAAACCUUGGUCCCCAAACCCCUGCCCCUGCUACGCUGGCCUUCGAAGCAUUCAGUUUAUUCAGGAAACUUCUUUUGCUCUUGGUUUAGUCCAGUUGUGCUGACCUCUCCUGUAUUGUGUGUUGUCUUUCCCUUCACCUAAAAUAGCUUUUGUCUACUAUCUAAUUAGUGAAAACCCUCUCCCUCCCUCCCCACUCUCAUAACCAUCAAAUAUUUUCUUCCCUGUUUAAACUAUUUUUCGAGUUCUUAUAGUAGUGGUCUCAUAUAAUAUUUGUCCUUUUGCAACUGACUAAUUUCACUCAGCAUAAUACCUUCCAGAAUCCUCUAUGUUAUGAAAUGUUUCACAGAUUCAUCAUUGCUCUUUAUAGAUGAACAGCAUUCCAUUGUGUGAAUAUACCAUAAUUUAUUUAUCCAUUCAUCCAUUGAUGGGCACCUUGGUUGCUUCCAUCUUUUUGCUAUUGUAAACAGUGCUGCAGUGAACAUGGGUGUGCAUAUAUCUGUUCAUGUAAAGGCUCUUAUUUCUCUAGGAUAUAUUUCAAGGGGUGGGAUUGCUGGAUCAAAUGGUAGUUCUAUUUCUAGCUUUUUAAGGAAGAGCCAAAUCGAUUUCCAAAGUGGUUGUACCAUUUUACAUUCCCAUUGGCAGUGUAUACGUGUUCCAGUCUCUCCACAACCUCUCCAGCAUUUAUUAUUUUGGAUCAAUGCCAGCCUUGUUGGAGUGAGAUGGAAUCUCAUUGUAGUUUUGAUUUGCAUUUAUCUAACAGCUAAUGAUCGUGAGCAUUUCCUCAUGUAUCUGUUAGCUACCUGAAUCUUCUUUAGUGAAGUGUCUGUUCAUAUUCUUUGCCCAUUUUUUAAUUAGGUUGUUUGUCUUUUUGUAGUUGAGUUUUUGCAAUAUCAUGUAGAUUUUAGAGAUCAGGCACUGAUCAGAAAUGUCAUAGCUAAUAACUUUUUACCAGUCCGAGGGUAAUUUUUUUACUCUUUUGGUGAAGUCUUUGGAUGAGCAUAGGUGUUUGAUUUUUUGGAGCUAGGCACUGGGUGGGUUUUGACCGGUUCUCUAGUUUCUUCUCUGCAUUGUUAAUAAUGUUUUAUAUACCAUUUAUUAGGGCUCCUGGCGUUGUCCCUAUUUUUUCUUCCAUGAUCUUUAUCAUUUUAGAUUUUAUAUUUAGGCCUUUGAUCCAUUUUUAGUUAGUUUUUGUGCAUGGUGUGAUGUAUGGGUCUUGUUUCAUUUUUUGCAGAUGGAUAUCCAGUUAUGCCAGCACCAUUUGUUAAACAGACUGUCUUUUUCCCAUUUAACUGACUUUGGGCCUUUGUCAAAUAUAAGCUGCUCAUAUAUGGAUGGAUUUACGUUUGAAUUCUCAAUUCUGUUCCAUUGGUCUAUGUAUCUCUUGUUGUACCAGUACCAGGCUGUUUUGACUACUGUGGUGGUAUAAUAUGUUCUAAAAUCAGGUAGUGUGAGGCCUCCCACUUUGUUCUUCUUUUUCAGUAAUGCUUUACUUACCUGGGGCCUCUUUCCUUUCCAUAUGAAGUUGGUGAUUUCUUUCUCCAUCUCAUUAAAAAAUGUUGUUGGAAUUUAGAUCUGAAUUACAUUGUAUCCAUAGAUGGCUUUCAGUAGAAAAGACACUUUUACAAUGUUAAGUCUUCCUAUCCAUGAGCAAGGUAUGUUUUUCCACUUAUGUAUGUCUCUUUUGUGUUCUUGUAGUAGUGUCUUGUAGUUUUCUUCAUAUAGGUCUUUUACAUCUGUUGUAGGGGAAAAAACAUCACAAAGUUUGGUAAAGCAAAAAGAGAGUUUUAUUCAGCAUAUAUUCAAAAAGACAAAAGUGGGAAGCGGACAAGCAUGCUGCCGGAGCAAAUGUCUGCUUGAAUCUGAGGAAAUAUUAUAGAGUAAGCAAGUCUGGGAAAACAGACAAGCAUGCUGCCACAUCCAUGAAGUUGCUUGCUGUUAAUCACUGUUGAGUCAGCUCUGACUCAUCGUGACUUAUUUAUAACAGAAAUAUUGCCCAAUCCUGUGUCAUUUCCAUGAUCAUUGGUAUGUUUGUGUCCAUUGUUGCCACUAUUGUGUCAAUCCAUCUCACUCAUCUCAUUUUCACUGACUCUCUCCUUUACCAAACAUGAUGUUCUUUUCUAGUGAUUGGUCUUUCCUGAUGACAUGUCCGAAGUAAGCAAGCCAAAGUCGUGCCAUCCUCACUUCUAAGAAAUAUUCUGGUUGUAUUUCUUCUAAAAACACUUAUUUCUUCUAAGGCUUCUGUCUCUGUUGCUGCUUUUUGCCCUGAGCACUGAUAUUGACAAUCACAAUUUGUGGCUUGCAAUAAUAAAUCAUCCAUUGCUGCAUCACUCUGAGUGACUUAAGUGCAUUGUAAUCUUGAGUGUUUAUAGUUAAUCUUAACUUGUCUGUGAAUUAACAGUUGUACUUUGCAUUAUGAUGGUGUUAUUUAAAUUUUUUUAACACUGUAAACAUUGUGACCAUGUUUCCUAAAAUUCAGAUAAUAAAAAUGAGAACAAUUGCAAUAUCAAUGCUGACACUACCCACACAUCAACAAAAGAGAAGCCUAAAUGACUGUGCUAUUUUAAUGACAGAUGCCAGAACCUACACACCUGGUUAGGGAGACACGAGCAGCCUAUGUAAUUGCCAAACAGCUGGUCUACAAAACCAGUCUGUGGAUACAAAGUGGAUGGAUAUUUUGGAGAGCUGGGAACUAAUUCCUAUGAGUCUAAAAGUCUGCCAUUGCUAGUAAGUAAAAUUUGAAGUGUUCCAUGGUCAAACACUGUGUAUAAAGUGGGCUUGAUAAAAGCAGAAACCAACUCAAGAUGAAUGUUCUGUUUUACUGCAUUCAGUUUUACUACUACUUAAAAGAAAACCAGUUGCUGUCCAGUUGACCCUGACUCGCGGUGACCCUAUGUGUAUUAGAGUAGAACUCUGCUCCAUAGUGUUUUCAAUGAAUGCCAUUUUGGAAGUAGAUUGCCAGGCCUUUCCUUUCCGGCACCUCUGGGUUAGCAGCUGAAUGUGUUAACAGCUUUCACAACCCGGGGACUCCUGAAGUACACAUUGCUGUUAGUUGCCAUUGAAUCAAUUCCGACUCCUGGUAACCCCAUGUGUCCAGAGUAGAACUGUUCUACAGAGUUCUCAAGGCUGCGACCUUUUGAAAUUAGAUCACCAGGCUUGUCUUCAGAGGCACCUCUGGGUGACUUCAAACUGCCAACCUUUCAGGUAGUAGCAGACCGCUUAACUGAGCCACUCAGGGACUCACAUACACAAUAGGAAAGCAUGCUUGGAAGAGACUGAUUUCAAACUAAAGCUAAGAGCAAAACCCUGAUGGAAGACUUGACAUGAACUGAACUUCUGAAAAGUUUUCAUUGAGCAAUGACUUUGUAUAAGGAAGAAAUUAUGUUCUAAUAGCAAAUUUGAUAUAUAAGCAAGUCUUGAGGGCUGCAUGUGUUUAUUUAACAACUACUGUUUGUAUGUGUAGAGUUUCUGGGUUGCCAAUUUGAAUCACUCCAAGGGAACAAAGCUCCCAGUUUUCACCCUUCUGAAGGGGAGGCUCUUUCCUCCCAGUUCCCCUGUGCUAAGCCGCUUAUCCCUCCAAACCUCACUCAUGGUUAAGCCCAUUGUCCUCUUCCUUGGUAGGCUGGGGGGCUAGGAGGGCAGAAGAGGCAUUGGCAGGCUUGAGCUGUCCAGAAUGGGUGGGAGGGUGUGUGUGCUGGGCGGGUGUGAACCAGGAAGGGUGGAGCAGGGCAGAGAAGAGGGCAGAGUCUGACAGGGCUCAGGGAAGGGCAGAACCUGUGGACAGCUGUGUAAGAAGCAAGAGAACCUGGGCCCUCUGCAGAAAGACACUGUCCCAAGGGAGAAUAAUAACAGUGGUUGAGCUCACAUUCUGAGCCAGAUUCUGCACUUUACAUAUUGUAAUUCAUUUAACAGUACAAAUCUUAUUGCCCCAUUUUACAGAUGAGGAAAGCAAGGUAACCUGAUGAUGCCACAUACAGUUAGAAAUGGCUGGAGCCCAGGCUUCUGGCCAUUCUGUGUGUCGUUCUGGCUCCUAGUCCAAGUAGGUGUGUGUGAGGGAGAGGGGCCGCUCACUGGGGUUCUUUCCAGACCAGUGGUAACAAGGGUGCACCACGAUUUCAUGAGACAAGCAGGUGUGUUGUCCCCAAAUGUCCAAUACUUUUGUUCUUUCCUACCAGAAAUCCAUUUAAAAGAUGUCAAAUUCACCCUUCGACAAUCUGGCAGAAAAAAGCUUAGAACUGCCAGCAUGACUUGGGAAAACUAACACUUCAGGGGGACAAGACAAUGAGCAAUACCAUCAGGACCCAAGAUAAUUGAGCAAAACCCGGAUCAAUCUUGUGACCCAAACCAGGAUGGCGAUAAGAGACCAGCUAGACAUCAACAAUAGGAGAUGACCAACAAAAUGACAACUCCUAAGCCCUUUGAGAGCCCCAUGUUUGGAAACUUAACACGGAAAGAAGCCAGAGAGUUGUGACUAUGGCUGCCAUCUGCUCUGAUCCCAUGGAGACCAGUCCUGCCCACAAAGUGUUAGGCCUCCUCUUUGGUGGUGAGUGACCCCCAUGAGGGUGGAGGCCACACUGCCAGCCUGAUUCAGCACAUAUAGGCACCACGAGGGAAAAGGUGUGAAGAGUGGUUUGAUUCUCAAGGAAGCGAAGUUGUUUGAAUAGUCUGUGAAGACCUGUGACUAAAGGGAACUGACCUUGAUAAAGAAGCUGAGGGAGAGACAGGAGGGUAGGGAAGAGGGUGGGGAAAGGCUCCUCUCUGCCCAUAGUGGACUAGAAGAAAAAAAGCCAAGGCUUGCUUUUUCAGAACACCACUAACUGGAACCCACAGUUGAAAAAUGCUUUUCUGCUGAACCUCUGGGGAUAGGGGAGUCCAAGGAUAGGAAAAUGGGCUUACUUGGGGCUGAGGGAACAGCAGCUAUGGCAACCUGGCUUCUGUUGGGCAGGACCAAGUUCAGGGCAAUGAAAGGGGCUUUGCACUAUUGAAAAUAAACAAUCCAAGAGCCACUUAGUGGUGGUCACUGUACUGUAAGCAGAUCAAUACAUUUCAGGAAGGGUUCAAGCAGAAGCUUCUGUUUUAUCUUUCCUUAGAAGCAAGGAUGGCAAGACUUUGUCUUGCUUCCUUUGGACACAUUGUCAGGAAAGACCAGUUUCUAGAAAAAGAUAUCAUAUUUGGUAGAGGACCAGCAAAAAUAAGAGAAAUCCUAUGAGAUGGAUUGAAACAAUAGCCAAGACAAUGGACUCAAACAUACAAAUGAUCAUGAAGAUGGCACAACCCUGAUAACAUUUCAUUCUGUUAUACAUUAGAUUGCCAACUACAUGGUAACUAACAACAACAAACCAGAAACUUGAGUUGAAUGCAGAACUUCAUGCUCAUUUACAGAGAUUUGUCUGAACUGCCAGGGAGUCUCGAGCCAUGUCCACGAGGCUGAAACCUUAUCCUCUCCAACUGGGCAGUCUGGAUCUCACCGGCAAAUCCAUAGGAACAGAGACUAGCUUUGGAUCCAAGGUCACGCACACUGCCCCACAGUUCCUCCUGCUGAUGAGGGGAGGCCCGAAUGGGCACACUCCCACUUGCUCCCCAAUCCACUUACCCUCAUAGCUGGUGAUUUCACCCAGGUUUAUGGCUUUAAAUACCAUUCAUAAUUGGCCACUUCCAAAUUUAUCUCUCUAGCUGAGAUCCCCUCCCAGAUUGAUGGCUCUGCUGCGUGUCUCAUAGGCAUCUUGCACAGAAGACAUCAAUCUGAACUCCUGAUGUCCUCCACCCCCAACCUGCUCCUUCUGCUCCAUCUUCCCUGUCUGAGUUUAUAAUGCCUCUAUGCUCCAGCUGCUCACACCAAAAACCAGGCGUCAUCUUUGCUUCCUUUCUUACACUCACAUCAGUAAAUUCCAUCAACUCUAUUUUCAAACUAUAUUCCGAAUUGCACCACUUGUCACCACUGUCACUACUACCCUGAUCCUAUCCACUUUCCUCUCUUGUCUGGGUAUCACAGUAGCUUCCUAUCUUAUUGCCUCCUCCCUUCACAUCUGCCAUGCCUCUCUGUCUAUUCUCAACACAGCAGCCAGAUAGAUACCUCACUUCCUUCAUGACUUUAGCUGAAGGUAAGGGGACUAUACUGGAGUCCCUGGGUGGUACAAGAAGCUAAGCACUGGACUACUAGCCAAAAGGUUGGUGGUUUGAACACACCCAGAGGUGCAUUGGAAGACAAGCCUGGUGAUCUGCUUCGAAAGAUCACAGCCUUGAAAACCAUAUGGAGCAGUCUACUCUGCACACACGGGGUCACCAUGAGUUGGCAUCAACUCACUGAAACUUACAGAAACAACAAGGGGGCUAUAUGCCAUAGGUUGUCUGUAUCUUUGCCAGAUAAAAUACAGGAUACCCAGUUAAAUCUGAAUUUCAGAUAAGCAAUGAAUAAAUUUUUAGUAUAAGGGGUAUAUACUAAAAAAUCAGUUUCAUUUAAACUAUUUUUAUGUGCUUUAUCAGUAGCGAAUACAUGAAAAAAAAGAAUAGUCUACCCCUCUGUAUGUUGUACAUUCAGUACCUUUCCCCAUUCAUACAUGUAUUAGUACUGUACAUGUUUAAUUUUGCAUGUUCAUGUUAUCUAUUAUCAUACAUAUUCAGAUGACAAAACCUUGCUUGCUGAAAGUGAAGAGGGCUUGAAGCACUUACUGAAGAAGAUCAAAGACCACAGCCUUCAGUAUAGAUUACACCUCAACAUAAAGAAAACAAAAAUCCUCACAACUGGACUAAUAAGCAACAUCAUGAUAAACUGAGAAAAGAUUGAAGUUGUCAAGGAUUUCAUUUUACUUGGAUCCAAAACCAACACCAAUGGAAGCAGCAGUCAAAUGCUGCUUUGGGCAAAUUUGCAUUGGGCAAAGCUGCUGCAAAAGACCUCUUUAAAGUGUUGAAUAGCAAAGAUGUCACCUUGAAGACUAAGGUGCACCUGACUCAAGCCAUGGUAUUUUCAAUUGCCUUGUAUGCACGUGAAAGCUGCACAAUGAAUAAGAAAGACAGAAGAAGAAUUGAUGCCUUUGAAUUAUGGUUUUGGCAAAGAAUAUUCAAUAUAACAUGGACUACCAAAAGAAUGAACACACUUGUCUUGGAAGAAGCACAACUAGAAUUCUCCUUAGAUGCAAAGAUGGUGAGACUAGGUCUCACAUACUGUGGACAUGUUUUCAGGGGGGAUUAGUCCCUGAAGAAGGCCAUCAUGCUUGGUAGAGGGUCAGUGAAAAAGAGGAAGACCCUCAAUGAGAUGGAUUGAUGCAAUGUCUUCAUUAAAGGGGGCAAGCAUAACACGGAUUGUGAGGAUGGGGCAGGACUGGGCAGUGUUUCAUUCUGUUGUACAUAGGGUUGCUAUGAGUCAGAAUCGACUCAACGGCACCUAACAACGACAACAUCAACAAGAAGGAAGAUCAGUUAAUAUGACUAUUAUUCAAAUUUACAAAUCAACCACUAAAACCAAUGACGAGGAAAUUGAAGACUCUACCAAUUUCUGCAUCUGAAAUUGAUCAAACAUGCAAUCAAGAUGCAUUAAUAAUUCCUGGUGGUCGGAAAGUCAAAGAUGGAAACAAAGAAGAAGGAUUAAUAGUUGGAAAAUAUGGCCUUGGUGGUAGAAACAAUGCCAGAGAACAGAAUUUUGCAAGACCAAUGACUUCUUCAUUGCAAAUACUUUUUUCAACAACGUAAAUGGCCACUAUACACAUGGACCUCACUAGAUGGAAUACGCAGGAAUGAAACCAACUACAUUUGUGGGAAGAGACGAUGGAGAAGCUCAAUAUUAUUCUUCAGAACAAAGCCAGGUGCCAACUGCAGAAGAAACCACCAAUUGCUCAUACGCCAGUCCAAGUCAAAGCUGAAGAAAAUUAGAGCAAGUAUAUGAAAGCCAAAAUAUGACUUUGAGUAUAUCCCACCUGAAUUUAGAGACCAUCUCAAGAAUAGAUUUGAUGCAUUGUACACUAAUGACCGAAUACUACAGGAGUUGUGGAAUGACAUCCAGGGUAUCAUAAAUGAAGAAAGCAAAAAGGUACAUAAAAAGCCAAGAAAGAAAGAAAAGAUCCAAAUGGAUGUCAGAAGACAGUUUGAAACUUGCUCUUGAACUUCAAGUAGCUAAAAUUAAUGCAAGAAAUGAUAAAGUAAAAGAGCUGAACAGAAGAUUUCAAAGGGCAGCUCAAGAAGAUAAAGUAUUAUAGUGAAAUGUGCAAAGACCUGGGGUUAGAAAACCAAAAGGGAAGAACACGCCAGGCAUUUCUCAAGCUGAAAGACUGAAGAAAAAUGUCCAAGCUUUGAGUUGCAAUAUUGAAAGAUUCCACAGGAAAAAUAUUGAAUGACACAGGAAGCAUCAAAAGAAGAUGUAAGGAAUGCAGAGUCACUAUACCAAAAAGAAUUGGUCAUCGUUCAACCUUUUCAGAAGGUAGCAUAUGAUUAGGAACCGAUGGUACUGAAGGAAGAAGUCAAAGCUGCACAGAAGGCCCUGGCAAAAAACAGGACUUCAGGAAUUGAUGGAAUACCAAUUGAGAUAUUUCAACAAACUAAUGCAACACUGGAGGUGCUCACUUAUUUAUGCCAAGAAAUUAGGAAGACAGCUACCUGGCCAACUGGCUGGAAGAGAUCUAUAUUUGUUCCCAUUCCAAAGAAAAGUGAUCGAACAGAACACAGAAAUUAUCGUACAAAGUCGUUAACAUAGCACACAAAUAAAAUUUUGCUGAAGAUCAUUUAAAGCUGCUCAGCAGCAGUACCUUGACAGGGAACUGCCAGAUAUUCAAACCUGAUUCAGAAGAGGAUGGGGAAUGAGGGAUAUCAUUGCUGAUGUCAGAUGACUAUUGUCUGAAAGCAGAGAAUACCAUAAAGAUGCUUACUUGUGCUUUAUUGACUAUGCAAAGGCCUUCAGCCAGGUGGAUCAUAACAAAUUAUGGAUGACAUUGAAUGAAUAGGAAUUUCAGAACACUGUGCUCAUGAGCAACCUGUAUAUAUAGACGAAGAGGCAGCGUUCGAACAAUAGAAGGGAAUACUACAUGGUCUAAAGUCAGGAAAGAUGUGUGUCAGGGUUGUAUCCUUUCCCCAUAUUUAUUCACUCUGUAUACUGAGCAAAUAAUCAGAGAAGUUGGACUACAGGAAGAAAAACCACCCAUCAGGAUUGGAGGAAGACCCAUUAACAACCUGUGAUAUGUAGAUGACAUAUCACGUAACGCUUUUGUGUGGCCUUUCUUGCCAUAGUUUGUAACACCUACACGGGUGAUUGGGCAGGACUGUGCAAAUAUGUUAACUGUGGCAAACCAAAGGGAUUGGUCAGUUUUUGUCAUACUGAUGGGCUUGAUAUGAACCAUUCCAGAGGCAGGAGAGAGAGAGGUUCCCACCACUACCAAGGGAGAACAGCCAAGAGUGGAGAGCGUAUCCCUUGGGCCCAGGAUUCCUGAACGAAGAAGCUCUUGGAACCAGGAGGCAGAGAGAGAGAGGGCUAUCAAGAAGUGAUGGCAUUGAAAUGACGGCAAGAGACAGCUUGUUGGGCUUCUUGGCCCGUAGAGCAAGAAAGCUGAGUGCCUUUGGGUAGAAGGCUUGCUGGCAGAGUAGAGUGCCUCUGGGCACUUGCUGGCAGAGCUAAAGGAACUUUGUAACCCUUGCCUGAGCAGGGCAGAAGCUGAAGGCCAGGGAGAGGUGUGCCUGGAAGGACAGCUGAAAAGAGGCUGUCCUGAUGGAAGAACUGUAUUCUGAGUGUUUCUGAGCCUGAAUUGUAACCUGUUACUUCCCUAAUAAACCCCAUAAUCGUAAGUAUUGUCCGUGAGUUCUGUGUGGCUGUUGCAGUGAAUUACUGAACCCAGUAAAUAAGUAGCUAAUGCUGUGGGAGGGACGGUGGUGUCAGAAUUGGUAAAGAUUGUGGAGAGAGGAGACAUGUCUGACCUCUGCCUCUUAGGAAUCAGCCUUGGGCUGUUGGCCUUGAUUCUUGUUCCCCCUUGUGAAGAGAGAGGAGGUCAGACCCCACCCCCAAGCCAUUUUUUUACAACUUUGCUUGCAGAAAAUAAAGAGGACUUGAAACAUUUACUGAUGAAGAUCAAAGACAGCAGCCUUCAGUAUGGAUUGCACUUCAGUAUAAAGAAAGCAAAAAUCCUCACAACUGGACUAAUAAACAACAUCAUGAUAAACAGAGAAAAGAUUGAAGUUGUCAAGGAUUUCAUUUUACUUGGAUCCACAAUCAACAUCCAUGCAAGCAGAAAAAGAAAUGAAAAGACAUAUUGCAUUGGGAAAAUCUGCCGCAAAAGACUUCUUCAAAGUGUUGAAAAGCAAAGAUGUCACUUUGAAGGCUAAGGAGUACUUGGAUCAAGCAAUGGUGUUUUCAAUCGCCUCACAUGCAUGCAAAAACUGGACAAUGAACAAGGAAGACCAGAGAAGAAUUGAUGCCUUUGAAUUGUGGUGUUGGUGAAGAAUAUUGAAUAACCAUGGGCUGCCAGAAGAACGAACAGCUAGAGUGCUCUUGGAAGCGAGGAAGGUAUGACUUCUUCUUAAGUACUCUGGACAUGUUAUCAGGAAGGACCAGUCCCUGGAGAAGGACUUCAUGCUUGGUAAAGUAGUGGGUCGGUGAAAAAGAGGAAGACACUCUAUGAGAUGAGUUGACACAGUGGCUGCAAUGAUGGGUUCAAGCAUAACAGUGAUUGUGAAGAUGAUGCAGGACUGGGCAGUGUUUCAUUCUGUUGUGCAUCGAGUCGCUAUGAGUCAGAACGGACUCCAUGGCACCUAACAACAACACAUAACAACAUAAUGUUAAUAACAACCUGUGUUAACAGCGUUGCAUGAGGGCAUGACUCGAGUCCCACCCUUACUCAAGUUACACUCUUCCCCGGGAUGUGGCCUGCAUGCAAGGUAUAUGUGGAUGUUCUGGAGGGGCUCUCUCUCUCUGCAUCUACAUCCUGCAUCUGGCUAGUCACUGUCUGACCUCUGGUUCUUGGAAUUUGAGUUAGUAGCCUACCGUCUAACCUGCUGAUUCUGGGAUUUGCCAGCUGCCAUAGCCCCAUGGGCCAGCAGCCUAUUGUCUUGCCAGCUUCAGCAGUUUCGUGAGCCAGCAGCCUUGUAGUCUGGCAUGCCAGUUUGGGUAUAUAGGUCCCUGUGGCUGCAUGAGUCAGGAGAAGCCUACAACAGACCCAUGGAUUUGAAACUUGCUAGCCUCCACAAGCACCUGAGCCAUUUCCUUGAUAAAGUUAAUGAGUUCUGUGAGAUGUUGCAGUGAAUUAUGGAACCCAAAGACAGGAAGGAGAGUACUGAGGAGAAAUGGAGUAAUUGAUAUUAGAGAAGAUGGAGUGGUACAGCAAUAUGGAGAAGCUGGACAUUUGGGACUUGUUUAACAUCUACCUCAUAGAGACCAGCUUUGUGCUAAUCCUUACAAAAGAAAUAUUCAUUUAACUGGACGUUAAAUUCUUAAUUGAACCUCAACAUGCAUAUGACCUCCAGUAUCAUUUCUUAACAAGCGAGCUUCUAGAAAUCAGCAAUCACCAAAUAUAAUGUCCUUCUAUGGGACAGAUUCCUUCUGAUAAUAUGUCCAAAGUACUUCAGAUGAAGUCUCGCCAUUCUGGCUUCCAAGAAGCACUCUGGCUGUACUUCUUCCAAGACAGAUUUGUUUGUUUUUCUGGCAGUCCAUGGUGUAUUCAAUAUUCUUCACCAACACCAUAAUUCAAAGGCACCAAUUCUUCUUUGGUCUUCCUUAUUCAUUGUCCAGCUUUUGCAUGCAUAUGAGAUGACUGAAAAUACCACGGCUUGGGUCAGAUACACCUUAGUCCUCAACGUGACAUCUUUACUUAUCAACACUUUAAAGAGGUCUUUUGCAGCAGAUUUGCUCAGUGCAAUGUGUUGUUAGUUUUUUUUUUUUCUUUUUUAAAUUGUGGUUUAGGUAAAAGUUUACAGAGGAAAUUAGGUUUUCAUUGAGCAGUUUAAUACAAAAAUUGUUUUGUGACACUGGUUGCCAAUCCUAUGAUGUGUCAACACUCUUGCCUUGUCCAUUCCAGGUUCCUUGUUUCCAUUCGUCCAUCUUUCCUGUCCCUUCUUGCCUUCUGUUUGCUUUUGGGCUGGUGGGUCCAUUUAGUUUCAAAUACAUGACUGAACUAUGAAGUAUGCUCUCAUGUGUGUUGUUGUUUGCCCUAUAGACCUGUCUAACCUUUGGUUGAAGGGUGAACCUCAGGAGUGACUUUAGUACUGAGCUAAAAGGGUGUCCAGGGGCUAUACUCUUAGGGUUUCUCCACUCUGUCAGAUAAGCAAAUCUGGUCUUUUUGUGUGUGUGUGUGUGUGAAUUUGAAUUUUGUUCUACAUUUUUCUCCCACUCUGUUCAGAACCCUUUAUUGUGAUUCCUGUCAGAGCAGUCGGUAGUGGUAGCUGGGAACCAUCUAGUUGUGCUGGGCUCAGUCUGGUGGAGGUUGUGGUGGUUGUGGUCCAUUAGUCCUUUGGACUAAUGUUUCCCUUGUGUCUUUGGUUUUCUUCAUUUUCCUUUGUUGCAGCUGGAAUGGGACCAGUAGAUGUAUCUUAUAUGACUGCUCGGAGGGUUGUAAGACCCUAGACUUUACUCACCACAGUUGGAUGCAGAACACUUUAUAAACUAUGUUAUGCUAAUUGAGCUAGAUGUACCCGAGACCAUGGUCCCCAGCCCUCAACCUCGACCUGGUUCCUCAGGAUGUUUCAAUGUGUCUGUGAAGCUUCUAUGCCUUUGCCUUUGUCAAGUUGUACUGACUUCCCCAGUUGCAUACUGUCUUCCUUUAAAAUUGUACUUUAGAUGAAGGUUUACAGAGCAAACUAGUUUCUCACUAAACAGUUAAUACACAUAUUGUUUUGUGAUAUUGGUUGCCAGCCCAACAUGUCAACACCCUCCCCUUCUCGACCUUGGGUUCCCUAUUACCAACGUUCCCUUCCCCUCCUGCCUGCUUGUCCUUGUCCCUGGGCUGGUGUGC